CUACGGGGGGCACCAGUCGCGAAACCUUUACAAUGCACGAAAGUGUGAUAGGGGGAUUUCAAGUGUACUCACUGAGUACUUUUGCCAAGUUCAAACCGCUUGGCGAAUAAGUGGGGGGUAAUAUGCGUGCCAGCCGCCGCGGUAACACGUAAUCCACAAGUGGUAUCCACUCAUAUUGGGCCUAAAACGUUUGUAGCCUGUUUAAUAAGUCUUUUGUGAAAGCAUCUAGCUUAACUAAUUGAAUUGCAAAAGAUACUGUUAGACUCGAGGCCGGAAGAGGUUAAGGGAAUUUCUGGGGUAACGGUGAAAUGUUAUGAUCCCAGAAAGACCACCAGUAGCGAAGGCGCUUAACUAGUACGGUCCUGACGGUGAGAAACGAAAGCUGGGGGAGCGACCCGGAUUAGAUACCCCAGUAGUC
rnacentral:rRNA from 1 species